rnacentral:rRNA from 1 species
UGAGGAAUAUUGGUCAAUGGGGCGGGGAGCCUGAACCAGCCAAGUAGCGUGCAGGAUGACGGCCCUAUGGGUUGUAAACUGCUUUUGCGCGGGGAUAAAGUGCGCCACGUGUGGCUCAUUGCAGGUACCGCGCGAAUAAGGACCGGCUAAUUCCGUGCCAGCAGCCGCGGUAAUACGGAAGGUCCGGGCGUUAUCCGGAUUCAUUGGGUUUAAAGGGAGCGCAGGCCGCCCCUUAAGCGUGUUGUGAAAUGCCGCGGCUCAACCGUGGCACUGCAGCGCGAACUGGGGGGCUUGAGUGCACGCAACGC